AUAAACGCUGGCGGUGUGCUUUAUGCAUGCAAGUCGAACGGUUCCGAUUUAUCGGAAUAGUGGCGAACGGGUGAGUAACACGUAAGUAACCUGCCCUUAAGUGGAGAAUAACUUCGGGAAACUGAGGCUAAUACUGCAUAUGAUGGCGAGGGUAAUGCCUUGUCAUUAAAGCCUUCGGGCGCUUGAGGAGGGGCUUGCGUUCGAUUAGCUAGUUGGUAGGGUAACGGCCUACCAAGGCAAUUAUCGAUAGCUGGUCUGAGAGGAUGAUCAGCCACACUGGGACUGAGACACGGCCCAGACUCCUACGGGAGGCAGCAGCAAGGAAUUUUGUGCAAUGGGCGAAAGCCUGACACAGCAACACCGCGUGAGGGAUGAAGGCCUUCGGGUUGUAAACCUCUUUUACUAGGGAAGAAUAAUGACGGUACCUAGUGAAUAAGCUUCGGCUAACUACGU
rnacentral:rRNA from 1 species